UAUAGGUGUGCUGGAAUUGGUAGACAGGUUCCGUUUAGGCCGGAAUGGUUUAAAAACUGUACAAGUUCAAGUCUUGUCAUCUAUAU
rnacentral:tRNA from 1 species